UUACAAGUUUUAAGAUGGGUAGCUCUGAAAGUACCCAAGGGGGAUUUACGGCUUUGACUAUUGUCAAGCAUCACAAAGGACAAGGAGCAAUUAAGAAUGUUAAGAGGUUACUUAAGAAAGCUGGCAUGCCCUCAGAAGGCAUUCUAGACCCACAUAUAUGGAGUGAAUUUAUGGCAAAUUACAGAGGUUGGUUAGAAGAUAAUGACUUAGUAGAAGUCGCACAAAAAUGGC